rnacentral:rRNA from 1 species
GCUUGACCUCGGAUCAGGUAGGGAUACCCGCUGAACUUAAGCAUAUCA